CCGUAGGCAGCCCCCUUGUUUGGCUUAUGGGUAGGAGUUUUCUUUCGGACUACACAGAUGUUCACAUGUCGCUGCGCGGGUCAAAGGGGAGCAAAUAACGAAAGCGGUAGGCGGAUAUGGUAAUAAAAAGCUCCAGAGAGCAUUCCGUUCCGUCGUGCUCCAGCGCGAAAGGCCCUGCCUUCUAGGAACGCGUCCGUCCCCAGAAGGGAGCAGACAGCUGCAAGAACACAGCUCAGCAGAAGCCCACGUUGUAUCAAGAAUGAAGUAAUCUUUCCGCUCACUUCCGUAGUGUCAUGAUGUCAUGAUGGAGCUACAAAACCACCGAUCCAGCUCCUUGCCAAGACAAUUCCAUCACCACACCGCAGCAGGGCUGCACCCUCUAUAGGACUGUGGGAGCACAGAGGGCCCGGAGGAUCCAUCUGGCCUCAGGGUGACCAAAGCGCUGUCACUAGGAUGGCCCUGGACUUCCUACAGAGCCUCUGCAGAGCCCAGUGGUACUGUGUCCUGUUCAGAGCAGAAUGGUGGAGAUAUUGCAUGAGAUGAAUUCGGUGAUGCCAUUCAGCUCUGAUACAGCAUCCGGUCAGCAGUGCUAUGGUUAAGAGCCUGUGAGAGAACAUCCCUUUAAUGUCAUCAGCCCUCAAGUUUAAUAUUUAAGCUGUUUCUAAUUGUGUUCAGCUAAAACUUGGCAUACAAUGUAUGGACUUGGAUGUAAUUUUCAUUUUCAUAAGAAAGAAAAAGGGGGGAGAGAAGAGGCAGAAUUUUAAUCUGUCCUGUUCCCAGAGUUAUUAAGUGGUAAACAAGGUGAAACUUUCAAUGUUCCAGUCACUUUUCCCAAAUUUGUCCAAGUGUGAUUUCUUACUCUAAAUAUAAUGUAAUAUGCAGUGUAAUAUACUAUAUGCAUGUGCAUACAUAGCCAAGAACUAAUCAAAACACUGAGUUCUGAACCUUCUGCAACAGACUUUAGGAAAACCAAAUUAAGAUCUUGGUUUCGGGAGUAGCUGGGGGUGAGGGAUGUAAUGACCAGAAAAGGGGCUCUGUAUGUGUUUCAGGAAAUUGCAUUAGCCUUCAUCAACAGCAGAAAACUAAAAUGAAAAGUCAGUCUCAGAACCAACACCUAAUGUGGGUUUCAGGAAAGCUCCAGAAUGAGUGAGUGGAUAUGCCCCAUCCUGUAUUUCACUCAUUCCUGACCCCCCCCAGGGCCUGCCCCCUCCUUGCACUGCUGCCAGAGCCAGCUGGCUUCCUGCACCCUUUCAUCAGCAAAGAUUGCAAGAUAGAUACUCCAGCCUUGCAGAGCUUUGGGGAAAUAAAGCACAUCUGCCUAUUCCCAAAGAGACGAUGGAACCGAAGGGAAAAAUCUUGGGAGAAAUGUUGUGUUUGUGGUUGUUAUAUCUGCAGCCAGCUCCACCGAGUUGGAAAGAGGAGAGAAAUGCUCCUUCCUCCCCUCUCCCCACCCACAGCUGUGAGGGUUGGUGGAAAAACGUCUUCUGCCGUCUACAGACUGCCUUUUGCUUAGGAAGACGUGGUGCUUGACAGACCCCUGUUGGAGGAACAUCCACCCAGCUUAUCAUGAGGACGAAGAGAGACUACGGAAACGAGCUCAGCAGAAGAGAAGAACCAUUACCAGUUACAGAAAGAGUUUCCCCCUCUUACUCCAUCUUUUGUCUGGGGGGCUGCUAAGUGUCAGAGUUUUCUGAUGCUGGCUCUGAGAAGAGCCAACAGACACUGCAUGAGGUUUAUUAGCCCCCCUUAAGACAACACCAAUGAUCCAGCAAAUCCAUAAAGGCAGGAAAACUGGCAUCAUUGGCUUUUUGGAGUUUUGCUUCUUCCCAACUUCUAUCACAUCAUGGCAAUAUGAAAACAUGUUCUCGAGCACCAAGUGUGUGGUGCUGUGGAGCCACAGCCAGCAGCUGAGGAGGGCAGUUGCUAAUAUGCAAAGUAGAGGAAAGAAGGCCGGAAUCUCUGCACUAGACGUCUGUGCUGAUUUUGCUGACUGCAGGAAUAGUGGCCUUAGGGGCAUUUAAUAAAAAAAAUUGUUAAAGAAGAGACAGGGCUGUGGCUGUGCUACUCAUCCAUUAACUGGAUAUGUAUGAGAACAGACAAUUCUCUCCCUAAAGCAAUAUAGCAAUGGACGUGCAGUCUUUGCAUGGGUGCUCUGUUCUCUGUCGUCUAAGAGAAUUGCUCCUUAAAGAUGCAACACAGCUUUUGCCAUCUUUAUGGUUUUAUUGAAGUUUUGUUGUUGUUUGUUUGUUCAUUUGUUUGUUUGUUUUUUGGUACAAAUUUCUUUCUUACAGCAGAAUUCUCUAUUAUGUCCACUGUAAUGCUGAUGUAAUUUUAUACAAGAAGAGUUAUAACAAGGAAUACCAACUUGGUGUAUAAUGCUUGCUUGCUUGUUUACUUGACUUUACAAGUACUUUACAAUGAAUUUAUGAAUCAUCUCACUGAAAUGCACAUUCUGCAAUAGUAGC
ensembl:lncRNA